GUCGAGGUGUUGGUCUGUGCCCAGGUGCCCGUGCUGUGCUGAGGAAUGGCCGCAGUCCUUGUAAGAACCGGGUGCUGGGUGCUGGUGAGGUGCCAUCGCAUCUAGAUUCUGUGCAGCCCAACCACAGUGUCUGCCUCAGAAUCUCAGAUGGAGGAAUUUAGCAGCAUACAUGGGGAAUUUGCUUUCUAAACUGAAGAUCUGCAGGACCUGUUUCUCUUCUCACACUUCUGUAGGUCAAGUGCAACCUGUGGCAGAAUCCUUCACAAGGUGGGUUCCUGGCAUAUUGAAAACUCUCAAAGGAUGAAAUGGAUUGGUUUGGCAGAUCCAAAGAGGCUGAAUUAAUCCCCUGGUUAGAGCAUCUGAACUCUGCUGAUGUGGAACAGCACAGCCAGC